AUUGAACGCUGGCGGCAGGCCUAACACAUGCAAGUCGAACGGUAACAGGAAGCAGCUUGCUGCUUUGCUGACGAGUGGCGGACGGGUGAGUAAUGUCUGGGAAACUGCCCGAUGGAGGGGGAUAACUACUGGAAACGGUAGCUAAUACCGCAUAACGUCGCAAGACCAAAGAGGGGGACCUUAGGGCCUCUUGCCAUCGGAUGUGCCCAGAUGGGAUUAGCUAGUAGGUGGGGUAACGGCUCACCUAGGCGACGAUCCCUAGCUGGUCUGAGAGGAUGACCAGCCACACUGGAACUGAGACACGGUCCAGACUCCUACGGGAGGCAGCAGUGGGGAAUAUUGCACAAUGGGCGCAAGCCUGAUGCAGCCAUGCCGCGUGUAUGAAGAAGGCCUUCGGGUUGUAAAGUACUUUCAGCGGGGAGGAAGGGAGUAAAGUUAAGACCUUUGCUCAUUGACGUUACCCGCAGAAGAAACACCGGCUAACUCCGU
rnacentral:rRNA from 1 species